CAAUCAACAAGUUUGAUUAAUGACAGCAUGAGUGUGGUAUCCACGGGAGGACCUCAGAGAGCUGCAUUAAUUUUGCUUACUGAUAGAACUCAUGUGGUUUCGGUAUAUAGACCAAAAGGCAAGAGAAGGAUUACAUAACUGACAAAAUUACAGUCUAUAUAGUGUGUUGAAUGUAAUUUUGUAUAACUUGGAAUUACUCCACUUUGUAAUAUAUAGACAAAAAAAAAUUACAUGUGCUAGCACUUUCCCGAAUGUUUUCCUUUCCAAUGCAUAUUUGGUUGCCUCAUCCAAAGCUCUUUGAGCUAAUCCAGUGGCU